GACGAACGCUGGCGGCGGGCUCAACACAUGCAAGUCGAACAGGAAGGCACUACUAUGGUGGUAUUCUCGAAUGGCGAACGAGUGAGGAGCACGGGAGAUGCCUCCCCGUGACUUUGGGAAAACUUCAGGAAAAUGGAGCUACUACCCUCUAGCACCUCCUGCUGCAUGGUGGGCGUUGGACAGUCUCGGCGGUUGGGGAUGGACUCGCGGCUUAUCAGCUUGUUGUUGUGGUAGCGGCUUACCAAGGCUUUGACGGGUAGCCGGCCUGAGAGGGUGACCGGCCACAUUGGGACUGAGAUACGGCCCAGACUCCUACGGGAGGCAGCAGUGGGGAAUGUUGCACAAUGGGCGGAAGCCUGAUGCAGCAACGCCGCGUGCGGGAUGACGGCCUUCGGGUUGUAAACCGCUUUCGCCUGUGACGAAGCGUGAGUGACGGUAAUGUGUAAAGAAGCCCCGGCUAACUACGUG
rnacentral:rRNA from 1 species